rnacentral:rRNA from 1 species
GAUGAACGCUAGCGAUAGGCUUAACACAUGCAAGUCGAGGGGCAGCAUGGUCUUAGCUUGCUAAGACUGAUGGCGACCGGCGCACGGGUGCGUAACGCGUAUGCAACUUGCCUCACAGAGGGGGAUAACCCGUCGAAAGACGGACGAAUACCGCGUACACUCCAUCUUGGGCAUCCAAGGUAGAGGAAAUGAAAUUCGCUGUGAGAUAGGCAUGCGUCCCAUUAGCUAGUUGGUGAGGUAACGGCCCCCCAAGGCGACGAUGGGUAGGGGAACUGAGAGGGUGCACCCCCACACUGGUGCUGAGGCCCGGACCCGACUCCUACGGGAGGCAGCCGUGAGGAAUAUUGGUCGAUGGGCGGGGGCCUGAACCGGCCAAGUCGCGUGAAGGAUGCCUGUCUUAUGGAUUGUAAACUUCUUUUAUACGGGAAUAACAAGAGUCACGUGUGACUCCCUGCAUGUACCGGAUGAAUAAGCAUCGGCUAACUCCGUG